rnacentral:rRNA from 1 species
ACGGGUACUCGAGUGGCGAACGGGUGAGUAACACGUGGGUGAUCUGCCCUUCACUUCGGGAUAAGCCUGGGAAACUGGGUCUAAUACUGGAUAGGACCAUCGUUUAGUGUCGGUGGUGGAAAGUUUUUCGGUGGAGGAUGAGCUCGCGGCCUAUCAGCUUGUUGGUGGGGUAAUGGCCUACCAAGGCGACGACGGGUAGCCGGCCUGAGAGGGUGGACGGCCACAUUGGGACUGAGACACGGCCCAG